rnacentral:rRNA from 1 species
AGAGUUUGAUCCUGGCUCAGAUUGAACGCUGGCGGCAUGCCUAACACAUGCAAGUCGAACGGAAACGAUGGAAGCUUGCUUCCAGGCGUCGAGUGGCGGACGGGUGAGUAACGCGUAGGAAUCUGUCUUGUAGUGGGGGACAACCUGGGGAAACCCAGGCUAAUACCGCAUAAUAUCUACGGAUGAAAGUGGAGGAUCUUCGGACUUCACGCUAUUAGAGGAGCCUGCGUUAGAUUAGCUUGUUGGUGGGGUAAAGGCCUACCAAGGCGACGAUCUAUAGCUGGUUUGAGAGGACGAUCAGCCACACUGGGACUGAGACACGGCCCAGACUCCUACGGGAGGCAGCAGUGGGGAAUAUUGGACAAUGGGGGCAACCCUGAUCCAGCAAUGCCGCGUGUGUGAAGAAGGCCUGAGGGUUGUAAAGCACUUUCAAUUGUGAAGAAAAGUUUAAGGUUAAUAGCCUUAGACCCUGACGUUAACUUUAGAAGAAGACCGCUAACU